UGCAAGGCAAGGAAAGGGGCCGUCAUUCACAGGAAUAGUCACUGCCACUGAGCGUCCGGAUGCAACCCUGGCAUCUGAGGCAGCAGACUCAGACUGUAACGCGGGUACUAGGAUACAGCCCAGGGACCGAAACCGAACUGGCAGGCGAGCAUGGUGAAUACAUGGUGGUUCAAUUCACGUGGGCUGAACUGCACUGGACUUCUCUGCUGGCUGUCAGGUCUCGCUCAUCUUCUGGAGAGAAUAUUCUGCAACCCCCAGGCUCUUUAACAACACCACUGGUUCCUUAUAAUAGCAGACCCCCGGUGGGCGCAGGUCGG
rnacentral:lncRNA from 1 species